UACGUAGGGGGCAAGCGUUGUCCGGAAUCAUUGGGCGUAAAGAGCGUGUAGGCGGUCCGGUAAGUCGGCUGUGAAAGUCCAGGGCUCAACCCUGGGAUGCCGGUCGAUACUGCCGGACUAGAGUUCGGAAGAGGCGAGUGGAAUUCCCGGUGUAGAGGUGAAAUUCGUAGAUAUCGGGAGGAACACCAGUGGCGAAGGCGGCGAUCUGGGCAGACACUGACGCUGAGGUGCGAAAGCGUGGGGAGCAAACAGG
rnacentral:rRNA from 1 species